GGCUGGCCUUGGGCCUCCCUCCUCGCCCCCCAGGCCUCCCUCCCCCGCCACCCUGCUGCCGGCGCCCCACCUCGGCUAGCCUCCCCCUGGGCCAUCUUCCCCGGGCCGCUUCCACGCGGUGCUGUCCCAGGAGGGAGAACAGAAAGGGGAACUGAGGACCCCCUGCUGGGGAAGUCAGGCCGGGAAAUGCGCCUACUGAAGCGGGCUUGGGGGCGGAGAUAGGGGGAGACGUUGGAGACUUUAAAAGUGGGGAGGCGGGUGGGAAAGACGCGGCUUCUGCCCCUCCCCGCCCUCAUUUUGCCGCCCCCCCCCCCCCCGCGUUGCUGACCCUCCCCGGAGGGAGACCGUUCCCGCUGAGCCGUCCUGGGCAGGCGGGGUCCCACCCGGAGCCGCCCGGGGUGGGUUCCGGGGCCGCGCGGGCCUGGCUGGGCCAGGCCGGGGCGCUCUGCAGCUGUGGGUGCGCACGGUCCACCCCCCCGCCGCCGGCUCCCCGCCCGCGCCGCGGGGUCAAACCCAGCUAGGAGACAGGCUUUGGGACACGAAAGUGGAGUGUUCCAGCGUGACUCUGACUCUCGUCCUCCCCCCUGAACCUGGUUCUUAUGUCCUUGCUUUCCUGCCUGUCCGUCUCGAAAUACAGGUUUGUAAACUUCUCAAAUGAAGGGAUGGUGGCAGGGAAGGACCCGUGCACGAAGGAGCCCAGUGAAUGGAGGACACAGAUAGCCUGGCCACAGUCUCAGUUUCUGUUGGUAAAAAGCUGCCGCCAAGAGUAUGGUGGUGGCUGUUCGCCCUUCCCCGGGCACAGAGGUGGGAUGGAUGAGCACAAAGUUCCACGUGGCUGAGAAAUAGGGCCUCAAAGAGAGGAAGAGGGCCUCCAGGAAGGGCUUCCAAAGGCUGAAGGACUUUGAAAAUAGGGCACCGUCUCUCUCAUCCCUUCUGAGUCAAGUGUGAAGAGAGAAGGAAGAGGCGAAUCCCCAUUCACUCUAGAGCUCUGGGGGGCCCCUGCGAUGUUGGCUGGGCAGUUGGGGGCGCAGCUCCUUUGGCUCUAAGCCCACCUCACCAACAUUGACUGAACAGCCAUGUGUGCGAG
rnacentral:lncRNA from 1 species